AAUGAACGCUGGCGGCGCGCUUAACACAUGCAAGUCGAGCGAGGCCGCGGGGAAACCCGCGAGUCGAGCGGCGAACGGGUGAGUAACGCGUGGGUAACCCACCCUGGAGUGGGGGAUAGCCUCGCGAAAGCGGGGGUAAUACCGCAUACGUUUGCUGGGGCACAAGCUCUGGCAAGGAAAGGCUGGGAUCCUUCGGGACCAGCCGCUCCUGGAUGGGCCCGCGUCCGAUUAGCUUGUUGGUGGGGUAACGGCUCACCAAGGCGACGAUCGGUAGCCGGCCUGAGAGGGUGAUCGGCCACAUUGGGACUGGGACACGGCCCAGACUCCUACGGGAGGCAGCAGUGGGGAAUCUUGGGCAAUGGGGGAAACCCUGACCCAGCGACGCCGCGUGGGGGGUGAAGGCCUUUGGGUUGUAAACCCCUGUCAGGGGGGACGAAAUCCUCUCGGUUAAUAGCCGAAAGGUUUGACGGUACCCCCAAAGGAAGCCCCGGCUAACUCCGUGCCAGCAGCCGCCGUAAAAC
rnacentral:rRNA from 1 species